rnacentral:lncRNA from 1 species
UCCUUAGUAAGACUUGUCAAUUCUUGUUGAAUUGAAAGGAGGGUUUUCAUUGGCUGCAAUGAACAAUGGAAGUAGGAAUGAGCAUUUUAAUAUUGCUUCUCAUUUAUGUAUGCGUAAGAGUCCCACAUCUGAGACUCAAGCAAGCAGCAGAACACAUGUUGUGAACCUCCUUUCCACAUUUUUCAUUACAAAAAUAAUGAAGCAAAUCAAUACAUUAUGAUCACCUGCAAACCUUUUAAAAACAUAUAGGGCAAGUUUGAAUUAAGCUUAUUUUAUUUUAAACGUAUGGAAAACAGUUUAUGCAAAUAAAUAAGCUUUUAUCUUAAUUUAUAACUUCUCACCAACGAAAAUCGUAUUUUUAUAA